AAAAUAUUUUGUCUCUUUUAAUACUUCUCAGCUAAACGUUUUCUUUAUAUAUUUAAAAAUAAAAAGGUGCUGAGAAAACCUAUGAGUUCUCAAGUUUUUUUUACAGAUAAUUCUGAAAGUCUUUAGGAAAUGAGCCUGGAUUUUCUCAUUAGUGACAAAUUUAUACUGACUUCAUGCAGACUUGAGUGCAUGGGCAGAUUCUAGCAUCUAGAUUUUUUUAGCAUUUCUGCAGCUAUAAAUAAAGACGUCAAAAUAUGUUUACUGAGGUAAGAUGAAGUAGGUAGUGUUACUGUGUCAGGUGAACAGAAUUUUGUAUAGAUUGUCAGAUACCACCACAAGCACCUUAUUUUGUUUCUCCCUCUUGUCCCAGCAUGAAAACUUCCCCUUGUCUUUGAAAGUGCUUUCCAAGCCGUGGCUGUGCUAACAUCCCUCAGACUCUAAACAGAUCUUCUGUCUGAAGAUGUUUCUCCAGCAUCACAAAAAAUCAGUGAUGAAAUUUUUUGAUAUUGAAUAUGCAAUAGGAAGUUUUUAUGUCUUGGGUUUCACAAGACAUCAGAUCAAUAUUUUUGAGCCAUCUAUGAAUUUACUGUAUUAAAAAAGGUUAAAGCUAUUACGGUGUAUUUUUUCUUUUAAGGUUACUACAUAAACUUUAAGGCAUCUAAAAGCACUAUUUCAGGAAAACUUUAAAUCAGAUUUGUGAUUUAUUUUAAAUAAUACAAUUUAAGUUUGAGGGUAAUCUCUUGCUUUCAUUGCUAACUUGUCAAUUUUGGGGAGCUUAGUAUUUUUCAGCCUAAGGGCUGAAAAGAUUCUGUAAAGAUUCAAAACAGGUACUUCUGAAUAAAGAAACACAACUGUGGGUUUUGGAAUGUAAAUUGGAAGUUUUGUGGAGUUCAGGACUGAGUGAAGCUAUAGCGGAUGUUUACAAGCGUGUUUGAAACAACAGUGUGCAUGCUUCGGUCAGGUGCAUCAACGAUUUUAUGGUCUGGAAGGGCCGUUUUAUGUGACAAUAUUCUUUGAUACUUGGGACCUUGUAGAGUGCAGCUGAGCAUGCUGCUGCUACACUCAAAGCACUUCCUCUUGAUAGAGCCAAGGUUGAAGUUAACGGUGGCUAACCCUCAAAAGAAGUUUGAAGUUGUUCAGACCUCAUUAAUUUUGUACUGUAUGGGCCUUGUUCAUGUUCCUUUUAAUCCCAGUGUAUUUAUGCACAAACUGGAAGGGCUGAUCUAAUUCUGAAUCCCAACUUUCCUCCAUUACAUGUCACCAUGGAAACCAUAUUUUUGGAUAGAAUUUGGAUAAAUUAGGUGCCAGUUCAAUGCUGACUGUCUUACUGAGACAGUCUGUGUCUCACGGAGUUAGGACUAGAAUACGUCAGUGUGAAACCAGCAGUGGUAUACAUUUUGCAGUCUAUUUCUUCUUUUAGAAUUAUUGUAAAUCCUAAAUACCAUGAUGCUGUGGCUGCUUUCUAUUCUCUAAGUAGUGGCCUCCACAGUGGGGAGGAAAAAAACAAACAAACAAA